AAGGGGAAAAACAUCGAAGGCUUGGGAAGUUAAAGUGCUCGAAGUCGGAAGCGUAAUUUGGUCGAAAGAUUCGUUCUUUUCUCCGACAAGAAUGUCCAAAUCUGGGUUUAGUCUGUUCAUCGCUCUUCUUCUAUAUCUCAUGGGUUUCUUACUUCCGUCGAGAGUUUCUGCAAUUAGGAAGGAUAUCGGAUUUUUAGAAGAGCGGAGUUGCAGAACAACUGUCCAAGGAAGAUACUUGAUCUCCGAUGAUGAAGGCAAUGUGUGUGAUGCUCUGUCAUUGGAAUCUCGAACCCGUUGUUGUCCAUGGAAAGGAGAAAGAUUCUCUUGUCAUGGAUGCAACCUCCUUUCACAAUGCUGCAACUCUUAUGAAUUCUGCGUUUCUUGCUGCUUGAAUCCGUCUCGGACGAUUCUUAAGCAGGUGGUUAAAAUAAAAGUUGCAAAGCCCGCUACAGCAGGGACUUACAAGACUUUAUUUGAUUUUUGUUCCGGGAGGUGCCGCCAUAAUUCUGAGAGUGUGGUUCAUGAAAAUGCUUACCAUAGCGAGUUUCACCAUUGUUUUUCUCUGAAAUCAAAUGCUUCAGGAGCUAAUCUCACACAAGUUGAAACCAGACUACUUGGCAUUGACGUUAUCGUGGGAAGUCAAGGAGAUUCAUGCGAUGCAGUUUGCAAGUUACGUGGACAAUUGUGUGUGAUGAAUAAACUCUCACUUCUAAAUCAAUGUGACGUUAUGAAAAGAUACAUGACCUGCAAAGGGUCGUGUAUAGGAAGUGCCGGGGCUGACCAACCUGCUGAAGUUGUCGAAGGUGCCCCCAGAGAUUUGUAUCCAGGCGCGUGUUUGUAUACCAGGACAGAAUCAAUGCUUUCCUGUGACGGUUCUCACCAACACACCAGACGACUCUGCCCAUGUGCCUAGAAACUAGUCAGUACUAAGAAUUAUACCAAAGCUUUUUCCGCCUCUUGUAGCUGUUUUAGAAUGCUAGUUGAAAACGCUGAUCAUAAUGAGAGAAAAAGCAUCUGUCGACAUCAAGUGUAACGUGUGUGGCCUACAUUGGGAAUUAACUACAAGGCUACAGAAGCAGCAACGUAUUCGUCAGAUCUUUGUCACACAUUGAUCAUUAUAUGAGGUGCAGCUGUCUCGAACAGAGCCAAAAUCUCAACUUUGUAUUCGUCCAUAAUCUCUCUUCACUAAACCAGCAACAACAUAAAAGAAGGCCUGAGAGUUCGAAGUUGAUUCAGAUUUGAUCUGUCUACGAAUAACUACAUUUGUUUGAUGAGCUUAAGAUAUGCAGAACUUGUCAAAUUUCACAUUGAUCAACAAAGAAAGACUUUUGUUUUUUUA